AGUGAACGCUGGCGGCAGGCCUAACACAUGCAAGUCGAACGGUAGCACAGAGGAGCUUGCUCCUUGGGUGACGAGUGGCGGACGGGUGAGGAAUACAUCGGAAUCUACCCUGUCGUGGGGGAUAACGUAGGGAAACUUACGCUAAUACCGCAUACGAACUGAGGUUGAAAGCAGGGGACCGCAAGGCCUUGCGCGAUUGGAUGAGCCGAUGUCCGAUUAGCUAGCUGGUAAGGUAAAGGCUUACCAAGGCGACGAUCAGUAGCUGGUCUGAGGUGUGGAGCAGCCACACUUGAACUGACAAACGGUCCAGACUCCUACGGGAGGCAGCAGUGGGGAAUAUUGGACAAUGGGCGCAAGCCUGAUCCAGCCAUGCCGCGUGUGUGAAGAAGGCCUUCGGGUUGUAAAGCACUUUUGUUGGGAAAGAAAAGCGGUCGGUUAAUACCCGGUCGUACUGACGGUACCCAAAGAAUAAGCACCGGCUAACUUCGUGCCAGCAGCCGCCGUAA
rnacentral:rRNA from 1 species